GACCGGAGACAUUAAGCAACACCUAGCGUAUAGRGUUMACCAAAAMGACAACCUUGAUACCGGGAGUCAGAGAACCUUCCUGGAAACUCGCCAAAAAGCAUUCGCUGCGUUCCUCAAUCCAACCCAAGGUAUUUUCUAAGGGACUAUAACACCCACAAGUGGGCCACAUUUCCCUUAGUUUUUUCCCUCAAGUCAAAUUGUCGUUGGCAGGAUAGCCUGCAAGUGCAUCCAGGCCGAAGCCUARAAUGUUACAGACAAGCCAGUCUGGUCCAAACGGUUCCCUUUCAACAAUUUCACCCCCUAGU
rnacentral:rRNA from 1 species